rnacentral:tRNA from 1 species
GAAGGUGUAGUUCAGUGGUAGAGCACGUGCUUAGCAAGCAUGAGGUCCUGGGUCCAAUCCCCAGUACUGCCA